rnacentral:lncRNA from 1 species
GUGGAGGAUUUUUUUGAUCCAAGGAAGGUAGAAGUAGAUCUGUUUUAGAUUUGAUCUUAUUUUUGGGGUUAUGAGGCAUGGUAUUGCAGAAGGGUGUCUAGGAUUGGUUGUUUGCUUGAAGGAUGGAAUGACUUCAAGUGGGUUUAAGGUGGAUUUUAAGAAGUUUGAUGGCAAGAAAAACUUCAUCUUGUGGUAGUAGUGGAUGAAGAACUUAUUGGUACAGCAACAGAUCUAUAAGGUCUAGGUAAGAGAGAGAUCGAAAAAGAUCAACACUG